UGCCAGCAGCCGCGGUAAUACGGAGGGGGCUAGCGUUGUUCGGAAUUACUGGGCGUAAAGCGCGCGUAGGCGGCUAUUUAAGUCAGAGGUGAAAUCCCGGAGCUCAACUCCGGAACUGCCUUUGAAACUAGAUAGCUAGAAUCUUGGAGAGGCGAGUGGAAUUCCGAGUGUAGAGGUGAAAUUCGUAGAUAUUCGGAAGAACACCAGUGGCGAAGGCGACUCACUGGCUCGAUACUGACGCUGAGGUGCGAAAGUGUGGGGAGCAAACAGGAUUAGAUA
rnacentral:rRNA from 1 species